ACACAACCACAUUGCGGCAGGAUCCCCAAUUGCCAGCACGCGGUAAGUCACAGCAUCUGGCUUUCCCCAGUUCCCCUCCCAGGAGCCCAGCAGCAGGGAACUUUUGGCCUCUUGAGUGUUAAGUAAGCCUGAAUUCUGAUCUCUUCUUCUCAGUGGAGCACCUCCCUAAAAGUUUCUAAACAUUUGUUUUUCUGGUCCCCAGCCCACCAUCUCUGCCCCGCCUUAGUGACUGUUUCCUGUUUUGUUUUCUUCCCUCCCUUCCUGCUCUGGGUGGCAUCCCUUUAGGUUACAGAUUUAGAAACAUAGCCCUAGCUGACCUGGAACACACAGAGCAACCCCUGAUUCUGUCUCCCUAGUGUUGGGAUUAAAGUCAUACAGAUUUCAUAACCCCAGGUCCACAUGGGCGUGAGAAGGGACAGACCCCUUUUCUCAAGUGGUUCUCAUCUUGAGACCAAUGCCAGUUAGAGACAGGGGACCCAUCAAAGCUAUGGCCCACAUUCCCACCAAGCCUCCUCUUUCCCUGCAGACCUUCAGGAAUUUUCCUUUCCUCUUCGUCUUCAUUCUGUAAAAUUGAACCCAUACUGUAUAAGAAGGUGUCGGUGAGAUAUCUGUCACCAUAGUGCACAGUGAUGUAAUGGUUGUGGGUGAAAUGUCACUAAGACUUUCAUGGACUGUAGCCAAGGGCUUCACACCGAUGCCCAAGAUUCCUGAAAUAAUGACAUGGAGACAGAAUUAUAUAUGAAUAAAAGCUUAGGCGUAAGCUCAGCCUAUUCCCCAACGAGCAUAUAUCUCAAUUACCUGUUUGCUCUGUUCUAUGAACGGCUUGUUGCCUCUCUUUAUCGUUACAGGGCAAUCUCCCUCACCUCUGACUCUAUCCCAGAAAGCCUCUCUCUCUACCGGAGCUCCCACCUCCCUAUUUCCUGCCUAAGCUCAUAGGCCAAUGGUCUUUUAUUGACAGGUGAAUCUUCCACACAUUGCACCAAAGAUUCCCCCUACAGUGGACUUCACCCCUAAGGGGCCACCCUCUUUCCCCCUACUUGCUAGAAUUUUGUGUUAGUUUUUCUUUGAGGUCCUUGGUCAUUCAAACACGCUUAUUUUUAUUUUAUGAAACAGUUACAUGGUGCCUAGCAUUCUAAAUCCCUUAAAACAUCAACUCACUUGAGCCAGAUGUGGUGGCAGCUGCCUGCACUCCUUGUAUUUGCAUGAUGAAGACAGAAGGAACAGGAGUUUGAAGGCCAGCCUUAGCUCUAGAUCAAAUUUGAGGUCAGCCUGGGCUACAGAGGACUCUGUCUAGAGAGGGAAGAUUAACUCUUUAAAUUCACACAACAGUUCUGUGAAGGAGAUACUACCAUUAAUCCCAUUUUACAGGUGAGGGGUCGGACACAUCAAGAGAUUGAAAGAUUUGUCCAAGGUCACACAGACUGUAGUAAGUGAAUGUAUAUGUUUCCUGAGUCUCAGCACAAAAGUUCUUUUAGGGCAUGUCUGUAUCUGAUAGGAGGACUGUGUGUGGAGAGAUAGCUCCGUGGUGCUUUCUUAACCUCUGCCAACUUAAUAGUUUUCAUUUUAAUUUCCUGGCUACUGUUGAGUUAAAAGUAAUGUCCUCUUUCCUUGGAAAUUGUUUUGUGGAUUUGAUGCACUCAGCUAUCAAUGACUUAAUUUGUUUGGUUAUUUUUCGGUGCUGGGAAUGGAACCUAGGACCUGUGCGUACCAGGGAAGCACUCUACGCACUGAGCUACAUCCCUGGCCCCUAUUGUUUACGACUGACAGUUUUGAAGUCUUGCCUAAUACCUUACCUCAACGACAUAAUAUUCCCUUACAUUUUCUGGUCAAUGUCUAUGACGUUUUCCUUCACAUAUGAGUACUUAAUGUGAAUGGAAUUGAGUUCUCCAUUGAUGUGAUGUAAGGAUGCCCCGCCCCCUCCCUUUCCCAUCUAGUUAAUCAGUUGGCCCAGUCUCACAUAUCAGACCUUUCUUCUAACCCAGCCUUCCAGUGUCACCAUGGUCUGAUUUAGUCACAGAUGUGUUUCUAGGGUCUAGAAACUAGGACUCAUUAGUUGAUCUGACACUCGUAUUAAUAUUUUAUAUUAAAUCUCAAUAUUCAAAGAGCAAAUUUCCCCUCUUCUCCUUCCUGUGUGCCCUGAAUCUUUUAUUCCUUCACAAACACUUCAUGACCAGCCUUCUGUUUCCAUAAACAACCGUAUUGGGAUUCACUGGGAUUUCACUGAAUCUGUAUAUCAGUUGGGAAAGAAAUGAUCUUUCUUGUGUAUUUCAUUACAUUUUAUUUCAGGGGCACAUAAGUGCCACAGCCCUCAUAGAGAAGACAGAGGGCUUGUGAGGGUCAGUUGUCACAUGGGGGUCCCAGGGGUCAAGCUCAAGUCACCAGACUUGGUGGCUAGAGCCUUUACCCUCUCAGUGAGCUGUCCCAGGAGCCCCUCAGACUUUUUAUUUCUUCUCAAAUUAAGUCUGUAAAGCUAAUUUUUCUGGAAUUUUGUUUCCUUUGUUCCAUAUUUUAUGGCAUACAUUAUUUAUAGCUUUUACCUUUUCUUAUUGGGUAGAGGGGUUGACAGUAGCCCAAACUAGCUUCAAAUUUGCCAUCCACCUGUCUCAGCCAUCCAAGUGGUGCUGGGAUUAUACAACUGGGUCAGCACACCUGGCUGGCUUGCUCGCUCAUUCAUUCAUUCUUUCUUUUUUUUUUUUUUUUUUUUUUGAGACAGGGUUUCUCUCUGUAGCCCUGGCUAUUCUGGAACUCACUCUAACCAUGCUGGCCUUGAACUCAAGACAUCCAUCUACCUCUGCCUCCCAAAUACUGAGAUCAAAGGCAUGCACUACCACAGCCCAGGUUUAUUUUUAUUCUAUUUGGUUUUAUCUCAUUCAUUUGUUUAUGGGUUGGUUGGUUUUGUUUGUUUGUUUGUUUGUUUGGAGACAGGAUUUCUUUGUGUGGCCCUGGCUGUCCUAGAACUUGCUCUGUUGACCAGGGUGGCCUCGAACUCAGAGAUCUGCCUGCCUCUGCCUCCUAGGUACUGGGAUUAAAGGUACGCAGGGCCAUCGCCUGGCUUAUUUUUCUUUUUUAGUGGUGGUACUAUACAUAAAAGGGAUGCUCUGUGCCCAUUCGUUUAUUUAUUUGCAGCCAAUCACGUUCACAUUGUUCUGCAUGUUAUAUUUGGACCAAUCUUACAAAAUGAAGCUAUCCCUAAGACACCUCCCACUUCCCUUCCCAGCCCCAGCAGCCCCCCUCUCCUUCUGGGGUGUGAUCAGUCUCUAUAUAGCCCUCUCUAUUUCCAUGGUUGUUCUGAUGAUAGUUACUUGCUUUCUUUUUGAGCCCUGUCUGGAAGUUUCCUCUGGCCUUGCAUGUCCCUCCCAAAGGUCUUGGGAGAACCUGAUCCUCACAAUGGCUUCCUUUGAGCUUUCUCAGCUACCAUAGCUGCCUGCCACUCAUAGGGACUUCACCUUUCCCACGGUAUGUGACCUUGGUGGAGCCACUUAGCCUCUCUGUGCCUCAGUUUCUCCUUCUAGGAGAUGAGAACAGUAGUCAUAGUUGAGCUUGUAGAAUUCAGGAGUAAGCAGGUCAUAUUUAGGGAGCGCAUUGACAGUGACCAGCCUGACGUAGGUAUAGUCACCUGCUCCAAGACAACACUCUCAUCCAUGACAGGCCACAUGUACGUACAAUAGAGGUCCCAGAAGAUUACACUGGAGCUACAAAAGUCAUACCACAUAGAGGCCUUAUAGCCAUCACAGCCCGGUGACAACAUUGAAUGCAUCACUCCCAGAUUCUCCUGGUGGUGUUAGUGUGCUACUGUGGUGCAGCUGUGUUCAAGUAUAACACGUCUAACUAUGUACAGGACGGUAGUGUCCUGUACCGUCUAGGUUUGUGUGGACACACUGUGGUGCUCACACCACCUGAUGACAAAGUUCUCUGAACGUGAACUGCAAAGCGAGCUCUAGGCCAGUGUGGACCACUUAGCGGGGUGGGAAAAACACCAAGAGUCUAGGGAUGCAGCUCUUGGCAUGUGUCUAGCAUGCAUGAAGCCGUAGCGACUCAGUCACCAACACCCCUCC
rnacentral:lncRNA from 1 species